CUCAGUCCCUUUAGUCAACCUGCCCUGGAGACAUGGAAAACCCCGGGAACCUGGGAUUAAUCCGUGAUAGGUCAUCUCAUCUGGAAGGAGAGAUGGCUUAAAGGGGUGCGAGAGUUUCUUUCUUGUAUCCGCUCCAGGAUGGGACUGCGGCCGAUCAGGCUGUUGGUGGGGUAAUGGCCCACCAAACCUGUAACCGGUACGGGCCUUGAGAGAGGGGGCCCGGAGAUGGACACUGAGAGAAGGGUCCAGGUCCUACGGGGCGCAGCAGGCGCGAAACCUUCGCAAUGCGCGAAAGCGUGACGAGGUUAAUCCGAGUGGUCCCCGCUGAGGGGAUCUUUUGUCGGCUGUAAAAAGGCCGGUGAAUAAGGGGAGGGCAAGUCUGGUGUCAGCCGCCGCGGUAAUACCAGCUCCUCGAGUGGUCGGGGCGAUUAUUGGGCCUAAAGCAUCCGUAGCCUGUUCUGUAGGUCCUCUGUCAAAUCCAACGGCUUAACCGUUGGCCCGCAGAGGAUACCGCAGGACUAGGAGGCGGGAGAGGUGGACGGUACUCCACGUGUAGGGGUAAAAUCCUUUGAUCCGUGGAAGA
rnacentral:rRNA from 1 species